AAAGAAAGAGGGAGGAAGGAAUAACACAUGCAAGUCGAGCGGACAUCUUCGGAUGUUAGCGGCGGACGGGUGAGUAACGCGUGGGAACGUGCCCUUUGCUUCGGAAUAGCCUCGGGAAACUGGGAGUAAUACCGGAUGUACCCUUUGGGGGAAAGAUUUAUCGGCAAAGGAUCGGCCCGCGUUGGAUUAGGUAGUUGGUGGGGUAAUGGCCUACCAAGCCGACGAUCCAUAGCUGGUUUGAGAGGAUGAUCAGCCACACUGGGACUGAGACACGGCCCAGACUCCUCCGGGGGGCAGGAGGGGGGAAUCUUAGAAAAGGGGGGAAACCCUGAUCUAGCCGUGCCGGGGGAGCGAUAAAGGCCUUGGGGUUGUAAAGCUCUUUCACCGGGAAAGAUAAUGACGGUACCCGGGAAAGGAGCCCCGGCAAACUCCGG
rnacentral:rRNA from 1 species